UACAGAGGGGGCAAGCGUUGUUCGGAAUUACUGGGCGUAAAGGGCGCGUAGGCGGUUAUGUGAGUGUGAUGUGAAAGCCCUGGGCUUAACCUAGGAAGUGCAUCGCAAACGACAUAACUGGAGUAUAAGAGAGGGUGGCGGAAUUUCCGGUGUAGCGGUGAAAUGCGUAGAGAUCGGAAGGAACGUCAAUGGCGAAGGCAGCCACCUGGCUUAAUACUGACGCUGAAGCGCGAAAGCGUGGGGAGCGAACAGG
rnacentral:rRNA from 1 species